AGCAAAGUGGCCGAGACUUCUAGGCAAAAGAUUGUAACUCUUUUCACGGGUACACCCCUUUGCAA
rnacentral:tRNA from 1 species